rnacentral:rRNA from 1 species
AUUGAACGCUGGCGGCAGGCUUAACACAUGCAAGUCGAGCGGGGUGAUGGUGCUUGCACUAUCACUUAGCGGCGGACGGGUGAGUAAUGCUUAGGAAUCUGCCUAUUAGUGGGGGACAACAUCUCGAAAGGGAUGCUAAUAUCGCAUACGUCCUACGGGAGAAAGCAGGGGAUCACUUGUGACCUUGCGCUAAUAGAUGAGCCUAAGUCGGAUUAGCUAGUUGGUGGGGUAAAGGCCUACCAAGGCGACGAUCUGUAGCGGGUCUGAGAGGAUGAUCCGCCACACUGGGACUGAGACACGGCCCAGACUCCUACGGGAGGCAGCAGUGGGGAAUAUUGGACAAUGGGGGGAACCCUGAUCCAGCCAUGCCGCGUGUGUGAAGAAGGCCUUAUGGUUGUAAAGCACUUUAAGCGAGGAGGAGGCUCUUUUGGUUAAUACCCAAGAUGAGUGGACGUUACUCGCAGAAUAAGCACCGGCUAACUCUGUGCAGCAGCCGCGGUAA